GGAGAUUAACAUGCCAUUAUCUUGAAUCUAAAAAACUUCAUAUCAAACUCUUAGCAGAAUUCAAGCGACAGCCAAUAUUGAUUAAUUUUACACAAUACCAAUAACAUGAGAAAGCUAAAAUAACAUGCAUAAGAUUAGACUAUUAAAAAAUACGAAAGAUCUGGAAGAAAUAAGGAAAAAAAGCUCUCCAUCUUGUUGCCUCAUUCAAAAUUGCACAUUACACUUCACGUAUUGUCCAUGGUUUGAAGAAUCUUGGAUUUGAAAAGAUAAACCAAGUAGAAUGAAGAAUUAGUAGCAGCAACAGAUCAACUCAGCAAUCCGAAAAAAAAAAGAACUUCUUUCAAACCAGUAUACAACCCAGAUGAGCAUAAAUCUUUGGAGUUUUCCAAAAAUUCUAAUUAACUAUGAGGUUUAAGCGUAGAAUCAAAGCCAAUUUCAACCAAAGAAGUGCGGGGAAUUUCAGUGUUCUUUUAAAGUUUCAGCUGUUUCUCAAUUUUUAAUAUUGUAUUCUAUAAAAUAUGACUUGAGAAGAAAGAAACAAUGCCUUUUGUAGAGGACCUCUAGGCAGCAGAACUGGUUUCAUAUUUUACCUAUUACCCCUUUUUUAAUUUUUAGUUUGUUCAUUUUAGACCCUAAAUUUCUACACCAACUACUACACUAACCCAACCCACUCUUUCAUGGAAGCUUCCCGAAGUAGUUACACAAGAAUCCCCUUAUCCCUUUCGCUAUACUAUUCUUCAUAUGUUUACUAAUUACUUUUAGCAAAUCAAGCCUUCAACAAAAUCGACCAAAGGUCUUUGGGCUACUGCGUUAGUAGGUUCUAACAGCCUUUUGGCUUCUGAACCAUUAAAGCUCAAUUUAUGAUCCAAAAGACCAUAGACCACAAAUAGGCAAGCCUAAAAAAUUCUGAAAUUACGGGCAUAAAGAAUUCUAAUGGAACAAGACAAAAGAAAAAAAAUGAAAGUGGGAUAGCAGGCUAACAUGAAAUCAAAGGUACUGAAGAAAAGUUUUAAUUAAAUUAUUAUGGUGAUAUCACUAAUAUGACCUAAAUCUAAACAUACAACAGAGAUAGACUCGAACCAACAAAAGAAGGAGAAGGAAAUAAGAAGAAAUAAAAAUAUGCGACUUAACAUGUAUACAAAAUGAACAGAAAAAAUAAGAGAUAAGAGGAAAGAAAAUAGAAGAAGAUGAGUAUGAGAAUAAACAAAGACAAAAAAUGAGGAAAAUACUGAAAUACCUAGAAUAAACAGGCAAAAAAUGAUUUGAACGGACUUCUAGUGUUUUUCUAUUUGAGGCAAAAAAGGAGUGUUAGUCGGCUUGUUCUUGUGAGAACAAAAGUCCAACAGUCAUUUAUGACCAAAAUUAUUUGCAAUGAUUAGAGAACAAUGAAACCAUACCAUUUUAAUGAGGAUUCAAAGACGUGAACGGGUUUAGGGUUCCAUUUUAAGGUAUGAAAUUAAAGAAAAAUGGAAUAUAAUUUCGGAGAAAUUGAUGGUGGUUUAGUAUUUGAGGGAUUAUGGGGGAGCGUGGUGAAUUUUUGGGGUUGAUUGGAGCUUCAAACCUUUCGAAAUGGCGGAAUUUGAAGGAAGUAUCAGGGUUUGAACGAAGGCAAUGAGAGAGACAGAAGAGAGAUGUUUAGACUAGGUUGUCUUUAGGACUUUCUAAUAUAUUUAAUUAAAAUUGGGAAAGUAUUUAGGGUCG
rnacentral:lncRNA from 1 species